UUCCAGGAUAGGCUACAAAGCUGCACAGAGAAACCCUGUCUCAAACCCCCCCAGAAAAAAAUCAACACAAAAGUGUAAGUUUCCUUUAGUUAUCCUCUAAAUAUAGACUUAAAGGUACUUCUCAUUGGACUGAAAACAUCUCUGUUCAAUCAGUAACUGAUUCUCUGGACAUAGAAAAAAUGUUCAUGCCUUUUAUCCCAAAGCCAUAGCCUUUGCUAUGACACCAAGAUAUAAAUCUGUUCCAGCUGUUUUACAGACACCAGUAACUGCCUUUUCUAUAAUGUGGAUUUCAGUAUAAUGAUAAUACUAAUAUAUCUAAAACUUUCAUCUCCUUUGGUAAAAACUAAAAUUCAUAUAAGCUUCCAGGGAUCAAAACCAUAAGGCUUGCGUCUGUCUGUCAACAAAUCAAACAAAAAGGGUUCCAAAUGUAAAAUUUCUCUUUUUCUGCCCAGCCUGUAUCUUAACAGAGUUCCACCUGGCUGACAAUCACCACCCCCCCCCCAACAAAAAAACCAAACCAAACAAAAAACUCCUGUAAAUUACAAGCUACUUAGCUCUUGCCUUACUAAAUGCUAAUAUAAACCAGUCCCGCUGAUAUAAGUGCUCCCUCCCCGUCACCUGGAACAGCCAAUCAGAUGCUUCUUACAAACAAGCCUUUGCUUAAGCCUCUCAGCCUUCCUGGGCCCUGACAACAUAUGCCUUAGCUCACCUGGAAGCAUCUAUGGAAGGCAUCAUCCCUGCUACCAUAACAGCAGCUAGAUAGAAAGGACCAACUGAGGCCUAUUUGGAUCCCAGCCAGAAAUGUCCAGCAACACACCCCCAACCAAAAAGAUGGCUCAUCUCUCACUGUCUGGUCAGGGACAGAGAAGAUGGAAGAAACUCCACCCCUUGAAGAACAACAAAAUCUCCUGAAGGGACAUCGAUGACUUGGUGGCCACUGCCCAAGCCAUAUGCCCUCCCACCUCCUCUGCUAUUUUAAUGGCAGUCUUUAUUAUAUCAUAGGGCUGUCCUGCCACCAUUUAACCCCCUAAUUCUCAACCCAACAGUCACCACUGGCAUGUUUUCUUUGAGGAAACCUAUUAGGACAAAAAAACAAUGAGAUUGGAUCCAUGGACUGUCCCAACCAAGGAUGCCAUCCCUAUUUCAACACCUAAAUAACCAUCUCACUAUUAUUGUAGAUGACUCCUGGAAUGAAAGAUAAAGAACAGUAGUCAUAGGAAAACAGUUAGGUUAAAUAUCUCUCUGCUGAUGUUCAUAUUUCUCAACAGCUAUUGCAGACCUCCCCAGUCCAUGCUAACCCAUAGAAAAAUUCUUAAAGAGGAGCUACAGCUAAGAAGAAAUGCUCAGUCCACCCUAGCUACAGUAUGUUCAAUAUGUUGUUAACUUUCUCCCAUUCACCACCUACCUUAAUGCCUCUAACUGCUUAUUUUAUAUAUCGAGCAAUAGACCUCUGCUGGCAGCUGUACUGGUUAGUACCCCUCUCCUUUACCCUAGGACCAGUGUCUCACUAACAUCACUCUUUCCAGGCUGACAUGUAAGAUAACCUCCUGCACAGACACCCCCUUCCAGGGUUUACACUAUUGUAUGAUUAUUCCACAGGUCUGUCCAUAUGAAGAGAAAGAAGCAACACUGCUGCUAAUCAAAGACAAAAGAUAUUCCUUCCUUUACUGAUAGCAAUAAGACUUGCCAUCUUGUCAUCUCCUUUGGAUCUUCCAGGGCUACAGCUGCCAUCGUCCAGACACAUCAUCUGUCUGGAGACUUCAGAUACAGACUUGAUCAAACAAUGACAUCUACAACUGAGAGCCUUGAGUCACUUGAAAAACAGAUGAAGUCUCUUGCCAGGGUUGUGUUCCAAAACAAAAGCGCAUUAGACCUCAUAAGUGCUGAACAUGGGAAAACUUGCUUGGUAUUAGGGAAAGAAUGUUGCUUUUAUGUAAACAAAUCAGAUGUUGUUAAACUAAUGUCAACACUCUCAAAAAACUAUACAAAGACCUACUC